GCCCUUUUCUGUUUCCAGCAGGACACACCUGGCAAUGGAUGUGACAUUCAGCACUGCCCAGGUUUCUGCUACUUGACGGAGGCAAAGUGGUGAAUGGAAGGAGGCAAUCCUCUGGCAAUGGGAUGCUAGGGAGGUUGCUGGUAUCCAUGGUUGGAAGCUGGCGGAUGUCUCAUAAUGGACCUAACAGUAGUUUCUGGCACAAUUCAGUGUCUAGCUGUAUGUGACUGUUAGCCCAGUGAUAGCUGCUUGCCGAUUGCUCCCCCAGUUUUUGCCUCUGGCCAUGUCCCUCCACUGACUUGUGAAUACCAGCUCUGAAAUGAUGCCUGUGAGAGAAUGCAGCCCUCAGCCACAAAAAGUUCCUUAUCGGUGCUAUAGCUUUAUGUUGAAGCAGAUAGCAGAAACGCAGGAUGUUAUAUGGUCUCCAACUUCACAUUAGCUAUAUAACCAUUCCCCCGGACUUCGUCCCCAGCUGUUCAGUCCAAAAACUCUUGGACAGAAUGGACAAUGGAUUGCAGCUAACAGUACGUACUAUAGUUAUAAUCUUACUUUUAUUUUGUACAAUGCUGUUUUUAACUAGAGCAAGAACAUCUCUCAAAUAUCUAUGACCUAGCAAUAAAGCAUUAACCACAUAUUUUCCCUUUAAUAAUGCAGUAAUCCCUCAAGUCACCGGAUGGAGAACUGAAUAAACACGUAAAGAAAGAGAGACUUCUAUAAUCUCUGCCUGGCACUCAGAGCAAACACAUUUGUAGGAAUCAAGCAAGAAAGCGCAGCCUGCCGUAUAUUGAAAGCGCAAAUCAAAUAGAAUUUAGCCUGAUGUUUCUUUGCAUUUACUUUUGAAUUAACUGGUAUAAUCAAUGCUGCUAUCUCCGUAGUAGAUACAUUAGAAGCCGACUUAAAAUUAGGAUCAGAACAUUUUUGUAAAAAAACAUCUUGUUGAAAAAUAAACUUCA